rnacentral:rRNA from 1 species
GACGAACGCUGGCGGCGUGCUUAACACAUGCAAGUCGAACGGAAAGGCCCUGCUUUUGUGGGGUGCUCGAGUGGCGAACGGGUGAGUAACACGUGAGUAACCUGCCCUUGACUUUGGGAUAACUUCAGGAAACUGGGGCUAAUACCGGAUAGGAGCUCCUGCUGCAUGGUGGGGGUUGGAAAGUUUCGGCGGUUGGGGAUGGACUCGCGGCUUAUCAGCUUGUUGGUGGGGUAGUGGCUUACCAAGGCUUUGACGGGUAGCCGGCCUGAGAGGGUGACCGGCCACAUGGGGACAGGGGAGGGGCCAGGGCCCCAUGGGGGGGGAGGGGGGGGAAAUGUUGCCAAAGGGGGGGAGGCGUGGAGGAGCAACGCCGGGUGGGGAAGGACGGCCUUCGGGUUGGAACCCCUUUUCGCCUGGACAGAGGGGGGGGGAAGGUAAAUGGGGAAAAAGCCCCGGCUAAAUCAGGG